rnacentral:rRNA from 1 species
GUGGGGAAUAUUGCACAAUGGGCGCAAGCCUGAUGCAGCAACGCCGCGUGGAUGAGGAAGGCCUUCGGGUCGUAAAAUCCUGUCCUAAGGGAAGAAAAAAAUGACGGUACCUUAGGAGGAAGCCCCGGCAAACUACGUGCCAGCAGCCGCGGUAAUACGUAGGGGGCAAGCGUUAUCCGGAAUCACUGGGCGUAAAGGGUGCGUAGGCGGCAAAGCAAGCCAGAGGUGAAAGGCAUUGGCUCAACCAAUGUAAGCCUUUGGAACUGCUUAGCUUGAGUGCAGGAGAGGUAAGUGGAAUUCCUAGUGUAGCGGUGAAAUGCGUAGAUAUUAGGAGGAACACCAGUGGCGAAGGCGACUUACUGGACUGUAACUGACGCUGAGGCACGAAAGCGUGGGGAGCAAACAGGAUUAGAUACCCGGGUAGUCC